rnacentral:rRNA from 2 species
UUAAAUUGAAGAGUUUGAUCAUGGCUCAGAUUGAACGCUGGCGGCAGGCCUAACACAUGCAAGUCGAACGGUAACAGGAAGCAGCUUGCUGCUUA